GCUCGGCGGCUGCGCUCCAAGGCGCCGGCUGCCAUGAUUGCGGGCAGCGGGACGCGCGCGCACGCUCGGGCCCGGCUCUGGGACCCCUGGCUGACCGACGGUCCCUGCAGUCCCCGCAACCUGGUGCCCGCAGCCCCGAGCGCGCCGCGGACAGCGGUCAGGCUCUCCAGGCUCGUCCCCGCGGGGAACAGUGUGCGCUGCGGAGCUCUCGACGCGGCCCCGGGACAGCGCUCGGGGCCGACGGUGGCAGCGGGCUUCCCCCAGGGCGGAGCGCGCGCACGGGCAACCCCGCGGCGGCUUCCAGGACACCGCCGGCCCCGCGGAGCAAGGGGUGCCCAGAGGGGUGGGAGUCCGGACUCGGCACACGGGAGCCGGCCGGCGGAGGCAGGGGUCAGCGCACAGUGCCGGGAGAUGUAAGAGGGGCGCGCAAGGUGCCUGGAGGAGUUGGGUUGGGGGGUGGUUCACGGUGCCCGGGGAGGCGUGGGAUGGGCAGGGGCGCGGUGCCUGGAGCCGCUGCCCAGCUCCGAGCGCGCUCUCUUCCUUCCCGGUGGCAACAACUUCCUGCUUCCCCGACUCAGGGCACAGGAGCUUCGGGGAGAAGUUCAAGGCCACAGCUUUGCUCUCUCGGAGCCCGAUGGCGACACUGCUGGCCCCGGGCCACACGGUUCCCUCCCAGGCCCUCCCGGUGGUUGAGACCGGCCGGCCUCUAGGGUCCGGACACGGGUUAGAAUGCCAAGGAGGCCGCGGCGUCUUUUCCCGCCCGCUCCACAGAGGCGCCUGAGUGGUUCCCAAACCGCAGAGGGGCCGGCCUGGGCCUCCGGCUCUCGGGGACGCACGCGGACACAGAGUCACUAUUCGCAGACCCCGUCCCCCUGCCCGAGCAUGCCCUGGCCCAGAGCCGCAUGGAGCUGAUGUCCCCAGACGCCUGCGACGGCCCUUUGGCGGCCAGGGCCCGAGAGAAACAAGGCCUCCCGGGUCCCAACCCAAUGUCUGUCUGUGCCUGUCUCCCCCCAACCCCCCGCCGCCGGCCUUGGCAUUCUAACCAGUGUCCCUUGACGUCACAUCUCGCCAUUUCUGCCAACCAAUUGAAACUUGCCCGUUGUCAUAAAAAUAUAUAUACUUUUUAUGCCAUUGGUAAAUUCAAAAGUUCCUCGUGUGCCCUGCUUCCCAGGAAACUUCAUUUCACAUUGGAUUAGACUGCCCAGGAGGGCAACGCUGGGCUGGGGCAGCCGGGCAACUCUGCCAGGGCCUCGCUGCCCACUGAGCUGCCUUCCACAGCUCGCUAGACCCCCAUGAUUGUGGCUGUGAAUUGUGCCAGCCACCCUGAUAAACACACCACUGCCUCCACCCCAUGACACACGGAAUUUGGGGGGAGGGAAGGAAGAACUCAGGGUAUGUUAAGAAACCUUCCCAAUUGCUUUCCUGGGAGUUGGGGCGGUGGGGACUGGAAUCUUACUACAGCAUCUUCUUUUUAGAAGCUGAAAGAACUUUAGGGAUAGCUUUAUUAUUUUUUUUUCUAUGGGAAAACUCAGUUUUAGAAAAUGGAGUAGAAAUGUUUUCCAAUUAAUCUUUUCAUUGGAAUCCGGACCAACUUUCACUUUCCAUAGCUGCCUGGUGGCUUCACUAUCGAGUGGGGUGCCCUCUUUUCCUGAGGAAGGUCCUGUGUCUCCCCCUCACCCCCCAGCUCCAAGGGCUGUGGGGCCCAGAGCUGGAAGCUCAGGAGCUCUGUGCUUCCCCAGAAAAGGGCACGGCUCUCUCGGCAGCCUGAGACGCAGACAUGCCGUGUCUACCUUCUAGCAAUACAGCAGGGGAAAUCAAUCCUGUCUAGCACAGUGCUUUAUCAUUUUCUUUCUUCACUAUUAAAAUUUUCAGCCCCAAAUAGGAAGUGUGGGGUGAGAGCACACAUUCCCACAGGAUGAGUCUGUGCCCAGCAGUGCCCAAAGUCCCACAUAUGCCCCUGUAGCCCCUCCUAACCCAGCCACACUAAGGCAGAACUCAACCGCUAACUGCUCUAUAAACUCCUCCUGUACCCCAUCGUUGCUGUAUGGUUCAACUACUUUAAAAAACAUACUACAGAUAUUUUGUGGUUUAGCAAGUUUAGGGACUCCAGAAGAACAAAAAUGCUUUAGAAACUGAGAUGAAUGCAGAGUAUGCUCAAAUUAUCAACAAGAAAACCCGGAAAAUUUACAUUGUUGAUGAGCACUGUGAUGGAUAAGUUUCCAGGAAGAAAAACUUGGUUUUCGCCUGUGGGCCACAGCCAUGCCUGAGAUCCGCCUAAUGGGAAUGGAGCCGGCAAUUUCCUGCUGCCUUGCUUUCUCCGCCAGCCCCUGGCCCACAGUCCAGCCUCAGAAGGCUGAGGGGGGUGCUUCGGUUUCGUUUCUUUUUUCUCAACGGGUCGACAUUUUAAAUUUCUCAGUAUCCAAGGCAUUAUGAGGACUUAGGAAACAGAUGCAUUUAAUCUAAUUAAAGCAAGGACGGCGAGUGAGUGAAAAAUUACAUUUUCACUUGGGUUCUGAACAUUCAGUUGCACAUCCAAGAAUAAUGAUGUUUUUAAAGCCAGCCCAAUAAACUUGAGAUUGCAAGUUUUCAGUGGCUCCUGGAUAAGAUGCCACUUCGAUCAUCCUAGACAAUGUGCCUUUUGAGGAGCUGCUCAGCAGCUUUGGGGACUCUGGAUAAAGGCAAACCAGGCUUAUGAUUUUUUUUCUUUUGCCUUUGUUUCAAAGUAGUUUGCAGGUUUGAGAGUCCAUUUUCAUAGGCCUGUUUCAUGACAACAUACGCUCCUACCGCAUGAUGGGUUUAUUUUCACUCUCAGUUAUUUAUACGCAACCUCUAAGCAUCAAUCCACCUUGGACGAACAUACGCGUUUAUAAUUUUCAUAGAAAUAAAACAGCAAAAGAUAAUUCAAAGUCAAUAGGGUCUCAGGCUGGGCAAGGAAAUGUGGGCAGGCACCCGUGAAAAGGGUUCUUUCCUUCUGACAUGAUGAAGCAUUUUUCAAAAUCUUUUGCUUUAUUUCACUGUUUUUUGUCAAACUUGGCAUUUGUUUACCAGCAACAAUAAUGAAACUCUGACCGGGGAACAAGCCUGUUUGAGGACAAAAGCGUACACCGGACACUGCACUAGCACACCCCACCCAAAACAGCAAACAAAAAAAGCCCAGCGUGCUGGCACCAUUUUUCCUAUCUUCUUUCCUUUCUGUUUCAAUGUAAAGAACAUACUUAAGUGUGCCUGCCUCUAUGAGUGAUGCACAUCGUGCUUUCAUGGUGCCAGCUCCACACGCGUGCAAUCACAUGUCUGGUUCUAAACCUGUGUAAGCAGCGCUUUGUCACCUUUAACAUGCUUUGGAAGUCUACACAUUCAUGUUUCAUGUUGCGGUGCCUGCGUAUGUAUCUCAAAAAGAAGUCUAACAACCCCGAAAGCAUUCUUAAGGGGUUAAUUAUUACUUUUCAAUCAAAAGGAGCGCAUAAAACAACUAGAAGUCUACGACAGGCGUGUGUUCAAUCAUAUAUGAAUAUAUUGUACAUAAUAUUAAUAAACAACAUGCUAGUAUGAAAAAUUUCCCCUUAGGAAUGAGGAAUUACGAUUAAUGUUUUCCAUUCCAAAGUAGUAACAACACAAAUCUGAAAAUAUGUAUUAAGGAUGACGGGCCAAUAUCUCUGGUUAUAUAUGCAUCUAUCAAAUGCCAAAGCUAGAUUUCUGACUUUAAAUGAGGAAUGAGAAAGGGCACCAAACUAAAUUUUUAAAAAACAAAAAUUACCAUUCCAGAAGUGGGUGCUGAAUUAAUUUUAGUCAAUCACUUCUACAAUUUCUUAAAUGGAAUAAUCAGAAAUGGGGAAAUUAACAUUUUUCUAAAAAGUUUAUGUGCUACUUAUAAUAUUUUAUUGUACAGGUCUUCAGCGGGCUAGGUAAAUUCCUCUAGAAUAAAUAAAAAAAAGAAAGGAGAAAAAACUGAUUUUGAACUCAAAUGGUUUGUUGUUAAGUUGCAAGGGACUGCAGGAACUUUUUACUAAAAUCAAGAUUUCACAGAUUACUUCUUUAAAAUUACUACAACAAACUUAAGCUGCCCACAAAUGGAACUCAUACUGAAAUUGGGAUUUGGUUUUGGGGGAUUGUCAAUUACAAGUUGUUUGGCAUUUGACCACACUGGUCUUAUUUAUUGAGAGACUCCCAUUUUAUUUUUAAAAAAUCAAAUGUGACUUCACACAACACAGGUGACUAAUUUAUAUAUAAAACCAGUUUCAUUUUCCUGACUAUGUCCCAGUAUCCUAGCUUUUAGACCUGGUUAACUUCAAGGUUAAGGUCAGAUUUUUCAUAGGCACCCUUUCUACAGAAAUACAAGAAGUGUUUGAACUGAACUUAUCACUACAAGACAAUAUUUAGUUGCUGUCCAAAAAAUGCUAAAGAAGAAAACCGAUGCUUUUUUGUUUCUUGCUAUUUUAUAGGCAACUUUUGGUAUAAUUCCUAAUUUCAAAAGAACAUGAAGUUCAUUUUUUUAACUCCCCAAAAAAGUGGUACUGUAAGCAACCAGACAAGAAGGGACACUGACCUUGAAAAUGAAAGUCUACAUAAUAUUUACAUGAUAAACAUAUUUUUAAAAUCGAUUUCAAAGUAAUCAGAGACGUGGAUAGGUAUUUUCACUAUUUUCACUCCUUUUUCGCUUGGUUUUCAAUGAUGCACAGAGGCAGGGGUUUUUGAAUAUCAUCAAAGGUUUGUACCUUUGCUAAUAAUAUCUUAUCCGUCAGUUUUUCAAGUCUGCAUUCUAAAUAUACUGCAAGAUGCUGCCCGUUGACUUUCUGUCUGAGAGGAGGCAGCGGACUCAGAACCGCACGCUCCUUCCCUCACUCUCCCGACUUCUCCAAAACUGGAAGUCUCUCACACGUAGAAUGCCAGAAAUUUAUAGAAGGACUCCAAGGCUCCCUGAGAAACUUCUCGAGUUGGGAAAAACCUUGUCAACGCACACCUGGACCUACAGAUUCGGAAAAAGUAACCGGCUGUAGCCAAAAACCAAACACUCAACCACCCGAACACAGUCUGCAAGAAACACAGAGUUCUUUGACGUGACAAGAAGAAUUAUAAAUAAAAUAGCUCCAAGGCAGACAGGCUGAAUGAGCCUUUUAAGACAGCCUGUUGGUGCCUCAAACUUUAAUACUUAGAAUAUCAAAUGUUAGCUCCACGAGGAUAGCAUCCUGGGAUACGUGUGUGUGUGUACGCAUAUGUAUACGUGUGCAUAAGUGUGUAUAUGUAGGUUUGUGUGUAGCGAUAAAUGUUUUGUUGCCUUUAUGGCCUGGGGGCUGAUUGAGGGCCUGGUGGAACGCCCCUAGCCCAGAGGAAGGAGCAGGCCCUACCUGCGUUCUCCCUGGGUUACUCCCUACUUCAUUACACGUAGGCAAACACCAAAAGCCAGGGAAAGCAUAACUGCUGUAGAUAACAAGGGCAGAUCUCAGAUAGAGAAAAGCUUUCUCUGCAAUAAAGAAUUAUUUUGUGAAUGGUAAGCCAGGCUGACCUCAUUCAUCAUCAUCAGGACAAAGCAUAAGCAAGCCGGUGUUGGGAGCGCGGCGCGGUGCGGCACCAGGGCGCCGAGAAGGUGUGCCCUCUGCCAGGCAGCUCUGGAGGCCGCACAAUCCGGUCCCCCAGGAGAGAUGGCCCAAGUGUGUGGACCGGGCUGGGGUUUGGGCCCAGCAGACGCUUACGCAGUCCAAGCUAGGCAGGGCAAUGAAGGGCUGCAGACGACAGGCUUGGACCCCGGGACAAACACUUAGGGCUCUCAGGCGUAUGUCCCAGGGGGAUCUCCAAACCGUCCACUCCAAUCCCCCAAAGUGGGGGCCAACUCGUUGUCAUGUUCGAAGGCCUUCAGAGGCCUGGGAUGCUCUCUGUUUCGACUCCAUUUCUCACCGUGCUCAGCCCACCUCUUUCUUACAGCCAAUGCAGAGGAUUUUGACACCACGGUUCAAGUCAACAAAAUCAUCCUGAUCACUUAGUAAGUGCCCGGCACCAUGUCAAUCACUAACCAUUUGAAUCCUAAAACAACGGCCUCAGAGUAGAGGGUUUUUCCCUAAGGUAGUAAAGACAGCACCUCACGUGUGCAGAGCAAACACUUCAUCAUUUACACAACGUGUUCUCACCUCGCCUCACGUGACUCUCCUGGCCCGUGCAGCAGACAGAACGAGAACUCUCUUAGCUCUUUAAAGACUGGGGAAACUGAGGCCCAGGUGAGUGGUGCCGUGACUAGGCCUGAUACCACACAGACUUGGGACCCCGACUGCUGUGUACACACAUGCACUUUGUUAUUUUUGUUUUUUUAAGGAAAACAUCACCAUCCAUCCCUUCAUACUCAUACACACAUAGGCUUAUUUUAUUUUAUGAACAGUUUCCAGGCAAAACAGAGCCCCAUUGAAAUUUAGGUCCCAGAAAUGCCUUACGCCGGUCUGGCUUUGGGAGCUCUCCCCCCAUCUUCCCUGCAGUGGCUUCCAUCGUCCGAGGUGCCCACUUUCCCUGCCAGGUGCAUCCUGAUCAGCCCCUAGAAUUAGACUGGGGCAAAUAGACCUUGGGUAUAAAAUCACAGACACAAUCGCCCCACGAGAGUCCUUGUCACAAAGCUGCUUUGCCUGAGCUGAAAGAGCACAAUAACCCCGUCCUCUGUCCUCGUCUGCCGGGCUGCCAGUCCCUGCAACCAGAGCCUCCCUGGCCAGGCACCCGGGGUGGUUCCAAGCCCCACCUAAGCCUCAUCCCUGCUUACAGCCCUCUGUGAACCUGGCAGGCAGCUGCCCCAUGGUCUCAAUAUCAAAGGCCGAUCAGUGUUGAGGACAGCCUUUGAGAACCCUCACCAUCUCAUGCCUGCAAGCACUGCUGAGAGAGGGGUGGCGGGGGUCCCCAGCCUGGGCAUCAGCAUUCCACGGAGGCAAACUUACACUGAUCAGAUUGGAUUAUUGCUCCUCAGAAAGGAGAAAGGCUACAUAGAAGUGGUGACCUCAGGAGGGAUGCACAGGAACGAGGCAGGCGAGUAAAGAGGCACCGGGCUAUUUGGCAGUCAUUCUAUGAAAGGCAAGAAUCACAAGGCAUGUCUCCCAAGGGCUUUCCUUCCCAGGUGGAGAUCUGCACCGCACACCCAGAAGGUGACGGCCACACCUGCCUACCCCCACUCAUGGCCCACGGCAGGACCCCUACCCAGCUCCAUCCUCACAACAGCAGGGCAUAUCCGACAACUCCUGAACACCAAGUCUUCCCAAAGCCAAAUUCCACGUUAGAAUAUUCCACCGUGCAAUCAACAAGCUCAAAAACAAACUCAACAUAAAAAAAAAAAAGUCUUCCUGGCAAAGCCUAGCAGUAUUUACAGCUGGUGAACAAAACUGAAAUAAGUGAGAAUCAGGUAGAGGGCCUUGCCUGGCGGUGCCAGGAACUGGAAGCCUUUCUGCUCAUCUUUGGAGGCAAAGGCUUUCAAGAAGAGUCCUUUCUGUGCUUUCCUUUUUGCACCUAAUUACAAAAGAAAGUACCUUUUUAAAAAUCAAACAGAACCCUUACGAAAAUUACAAGUGCUAAGUCUCAAAAGCUUCUUGGGAUAAACAUUAUAACCUUGUCCAACAUUUGAGGAAAAAACGAAGAACAGAAAGACGUGAAAUGGUCAAGGCCUGAAUUUCGUGUCAACGGAUGCAUUCAUGGCCUCAGCAUCCUCCUCUGGCCUAGAACCGUUCCCAGGUGCUGGAAAGGUUGUGAUGUGGAGGAAAAAGAGGUUGUCGGGGAGGGAGCCCACGUGCAGAGGGUCUGAAGGGUUCCGGCUUCCCUCACCAGGGGAGUGGGGUUCGCAUAGAUGGAGCGUCUUUUCUUUCCCGUGUGACAGGCUUCCAAGCAGAAAUAAAGAGCAGAAAAAGAAAAACAAGAACUAAUACACGUCUCCUCUGCAUCACGGCUGUCUGAAAUCCUUACGGGGCCUGCACAGGGACCCCGGGAGCAGUGUCUCUGCGGCCUCCCCCAACCCCGCUCCAGGGGACAGGCACCCACGUGGCCGCGGGAGUGCGUGGGGACCUUGCGCGGACCAGGAGCACCCGGCCCCGGGGCGGGAGGUGCGGGCCAGUUUCAGCCGGCCAGCUGCGGACCUGGGGGGACACAGGGCCCAGGCCCGCAGCGGCUCUGAAGGCAGGGAGGCCUCGGUGCGCCUCCUCCAGGCAGCCCCAGGGCGGGCACGCGAGGCAGGGCCGAGUCCGGCACCAGGCCUGAGGCUCGGGGUCCGCGGCGGGCGGGGAGGCCGGUCUGCAGCGGGGCGGGGCGGGUCCCCAGGGUUCGAACCGAGGCCUGGAGUCGGAGCCUGGGCCCGGAGCCGCUGCAGAGGGUCCGGGCCGGGGCCGGGGUCCGCCUGGGCAGGGACGAGGGUUCGAGCCGGGGUCCCAGGCCGGGGUCGGGUCGGAGUUGGCGGGCGGGUCCGGGGCCUGCGUCCGAGGGCGCGUCCCAGGCAGAGUCCAGGGUGCGGUCCGGGCAGAGGCGGCGGCACGCGCCCCAAUUAGCCGCAGGCCGGGCGGCGGGGCUGCCCCAUUGAGGGCGAACAAAGGGCGCGACCCCGGGGUCAGGAGUCGCGGGCUGCGGCCGCCGCUUUGUUCGGCGCCUGUUUACUUUGCCCAAGCGGAGCUCAUAAGAUAUUGACUAAAGCGGAUUAGGGGGUCGCGCCCCGGAGGCCCAGGCGGGCUGCGGGAGGCUCCAGGGCCCGCGGGACCUCCCAGCCGGGCGCGCCUGGCCGAGUCGGCCCCUUCCCCGCCGCCCGAGCGUCCCCAGCCUCGCCUCCGCCCCGCUCUGCCGGGGAAACUGAGGCUCCGGCCGGGCGGGCCCGGGAGAGGGGGCUCUGCGGCCGGCGGGCAGCCCGGGACCGCCCGGAGCCAGCCGGGAAGUGAUGGGGUUGCCCGGGGCACUGCAUUUUAAAGAAUUCUGCCCGUCCCGAUACGGCAGGUCCUGGGAAUCCAUUUUACAGUGAAGCAAGUCGCACUUGCCUGAAGGCUAGGAAAUAUUAGUUGGAAACACGGACAGAUUUUUCCGUAUAACAAAAUCCUGGCACAUUAUGGUUAAGAAAGAAACUUCUAGUCUCUUAACGCAAGCGAUGCGCUCCUGGCGUGAAUAGGCAGGUGACCUAAGAGUGCAGAGAAAUAUUUUAAGGGCAAUACAAGCUUACGAAAAUAAAUGUUUUCUUUCUUUUUAAAAAAAAGAAUAAGACAACUGAUGAGUCUAAAUAAACCACUAGGAUUCCCACUCAAAGACCACAAUUAAUCUGAUACUAUGAAUCCAGGAUCUACGGACUUCUCCAGUAAUUAACUUGCAGAAUCUUUUAAAUUGUCCCUAGAAAACCAAACAGGGGAAGCAGAAAGCCCCAACUGAAAAUCAGGCACCAUGUCUCACCACCGGAGGGUUGUCACCCAACCAAGGAUCCAAGAAGAAGACGGGCCUUUUUCCACCCUUCUUAAGGCUAUUGUUUAGGGAACAAAAACACUUCCCGAGUCCACACAAAAUCUUAAUUGAGAUUUUUCUGCCCUGGCGUACAAGUAUAUGUGUUUGGUUAGAAAACUCACAUAGUAUUGGAUUAAUAAGCUACCAACAUAUAAAUCUUUUAUUAAAGAAAGAACAAUAUUGACUUACUAUUCCUAUUUGUUGGUCUAACGAAUACUUCUGCUACGUGUAUCAUCCAUCCCCAAUGACUGAAAGAAAGCAUGCCAUUUGUCUCUAUUUGUCUAUCUUCCUAUAAUGAGUCUUUAAAAAUAGUUUUUCCCUGAUUAUAAAUAUACCACGUGUUUAAUGAAGGCACAGGAAAGUGUAAAUUAUACGCAAUUUAAGAAUAAAAUAUAAAGACAGAUAUUUAAGAUAUAAUUUCAGUAGUAAAUAAAAAAUAUGGGUUAAGUAUAAAAUACACAAAAAAAGGAAAAUUCACCUACAUGCCGCAAUCCAGAAAUAAUAUUCUGUUGUAUUUCCCUCCCAACCAUUGUUCAGCACACAUAUACAUACACAGACAUGCCUUACAUAUGUACAUACUGUAGGAAGGUGUUGUAUCCCGUACACACCCAUACCAUUCCAAACUUUUUGUCAAUACCAUUUUAUUAUUAUUUAUUUAUUUAUUGAGAUGGAGUUUCGCUCUUGUCACCCAGGCUGGAGUGCAAUGGCGCAAUCUCGGCUCACUGCAACCUCCACCUCCUGCGUUCAAGCGAUUCUCCUGCCUCAGCCUCCCGACUAGCUGGGAUUACAGGCACAAGCCACCACGUCCGGCUAAUUUUUGUAUUUUCAGUAGAGACGGGGUUUCACCAUGUUGCCCAGGCUGGUCUCGAGCUCCUGACCUCAGGUGAUCCACCCGCCUUGGCCUCCCAAAAUGUCACCACCGUUUUAACGGUGACACAAUGUUCCAUUAUUUCACUAUGGGAUAAUUUACUGUCAUGUCCCCUAUGAUUCCCUAUGUCAUGUCUUGCUAAUAUUUGUAUACUGUAGUGAACACUGCAACCUAUGAUCUUGCCUAUGAAGUUUGUCUGCAACUUGGGUUAUUAAUAAAUCUCAAAUGAUCUAUUGUUAAGACGUUGAGGCCACUGCAUUAUUCUAAGCGGGUAAAGGUAGACCCCAUAGACUUCAUUUCUCCUAUCAUGAACGUACCCGGCUAUUCUAGAAAUGCCUUUGGAUCAGUUACUCAGAAGGCAAUAGGGAGGUCUGUGUGGUUCCCCCUCCAGAGGCCUGGUUCUGUGGAACUUUUUCCUGAUGGACUUGUGGGGUCGGCCAAGGCACAUGCAUGAUUGUGACAUGCUAUUGGGGGAUUGUGCCCUUGCACUGAAGUUCUGGUGGAUUUCUGCCUACCAAGCCACUUGGCACUAACCCCCAACCACGCGGCGGGUGUAAGUCAGGGCCAUAAAGCUGAACACCUUGGAAACAUUAUCCCAACAGUUCCGAUGAAACUUUGCACGUCUAAGAAGCGGUUUGAUUUGGCCCAAGCAUCUUUCUUUGCUUAGAAUUCAAGCAUUGAAGCUGCUUUUUACACUCUCUCAGCGCCCCCCUCCCAAUCCGUGCUGCAGUGUUCCUGGGUUUUCUGUCGGGGACAGCCUGCCUGCAUCUUCCCACCUCCCAGCCCUCUCCUGCAUGGGAAGGCCUAGCGCGCUCACCUCCACAGCUCGGGCCCUGCGAGAUAAUGGGUUUCAUGCCACUCACUCCGGCUCCCUGAUGCCCUGAGCCCACCUGCAGGCCUGGCUUUGCCGUGGGGCUGUGCUGGCCGUGUAUCUGGGCUACCCCAACCGGGCUCCCAGCACAGCAGGACAAGGAGGCUGGGUGCCGUGGAGCCUGAGGUCUUCUCCCUGAACACCCAGACCCUGAGCCGGGCCCUCCUGAAGGAGGCAGCAAGAGAGAAAGAACUGCCACUGAGGACCAGAGGGGCCAAGGCGACAAGGAGGACCAAUCACAAAAGCCCACGGAGUUAUCUGAAAAUAGAUGCUAGGAGAAUUGAUGAAAGCCGCUCGGCAGAGAGCAGAGCCUGGAAGGAAACACAGGAAAAUGUGACCAGAGCUUGUCUCUGCGUGGGAGAAAGGAUGAAUAAUUUUUCCCUUAUGUGCAUUUUUCUGUAUUUUCCAAAUUUUCUAUAGUGAGCAUAUGUUGCUUUCAUGAUCAGAAAAGGACUAUAUUACUGAUAUGAUUCUAUUUAUUAUAAGUCAAAUAGAUAUAAUUCAUUAUGAGAAUGAAAUGAAUUAUUGUUAAUAGUUAUGAGAUUAACAUAAACAAUCAUCGUCGUGUAUUGCCAGAAAAGUUAUUAAGAUGGUAGCAGUUGUUCUCGUGUCUCUAGCACAUCCCCCUUCAGAGAAACUUUCAAAUAGAAAACGAAACUGGGCAUCUCUGCUAUGCAAAUAUUGGUGGCUGUUGUCAUAUUCCUGCAACAGCCCUUGACAGUGGGCUGGGCUGGGUGCUGUUCUCACUUUAAAUCCGGGGAGCUGAGGCUUGGAGGAAUAAAGGGAACAGCCCCAGGACUUGAACAGAGCCCUUGGGUCACCCAUGUCUCUACUGUAGCUUCCAGGCCGUUUCCCCUGGGGAUCCAAUGUGUUUCCUGUUGUCCCCAAUCUUUUAAAUUUUUUUCCAUUAUUAGAGUUAGUACCAGCAGCCAGGGUGGAACUGCAAUUCGUGAAGAUUGCAUUGGCUUGCUUUAAAAGAAUGGUAUCUGUACGGGUCCCUUAACCAUUCGAGGGGCACCAUCGGGCUUGUGGGUCAUGCUGGGAAGUGGCCCGGCUGCCUGUGACAGUUUCUCAGCCAGGCAGGGACUCUUUUCCACACGAUGACACUGGAACUGAAUGCCACACUCCUUCUCCUUGGAAGAAAAAAUGGUGUGUAGGACAAGGACUCAGGACAUGGGUGUGGAAGAAUCUCUGUGGUACGAGCCCAGCCUGGAAGAACUCUUAGGUCAGAAACACCCCUUUUCUGACCUUAUUUUUGAAAAGUGGGCCAUUUCCAGCCCCUAAUAACGGAGGGGGACCAAUCUCCAAAUUCAAUGUACUUGAUCUUAAGAAUCGUUCUUUAAAAGUGAGUUAAAAGGCAAAGUAGCAUGCUGUUGUCUACUCUAAAAGGCAAUUUCUAAAUUUGGAUUAAAAAAAAAAUUGUACUCUAGCUUGCAAAUCCAGUGGCUCUCAGAAUGCAAGUAAGAUACACCACUCCUUGUGCUAAAAUCAUCUUAAGCAGUUUAAAAUAAAUCAAAACAAAACGAUGUGAGCCGAGCAUAUGUCUCCCAUCCCUUGUGUUUUGAAGGCCGAGUGGGCCAGGCUGCCUAGCACAGACCGGUUCAGUCCGAGAGCCGCCUGGGCCCAGAUCUCGGCAGUCAAUGAUUUUAAGAGAGGGCCACAAUGUCUCCUGGACCAAAGAGACCUAGGUCUUUUACUUUCCAAAGAUGGCCUCGGUUCUAGACAAGGAUUAAAUUAUAAAAUAAAUCAUUACAGAACAUAAUCAACAGGUAAGAUGAAUAAAUUGAAGACAUUUAUUUCCUCCAAGAAAAAUGUCUGGCACUUGGAAUUUUCAAGCUGCAAGUAGAUGUACACAUUUUCAAAAGAUCUUUCUUUUCCUUCGCUUCCUCACACUGGGCACAGCAAAACAUCUCUGCCUUCUAAAAUAAAAACACAUGCCACUUUAAUUUAGCAAAGAGAAGCCAGAAUGCAGAAUCUUUGCAGAGAUUUUUUUUUUUUUUAAUUAAAAAGAGAGACUGACAACUUCAUUUUAUACCUUUUCACGGGAAGUGACCCUCCUCCCCAUGGGUCAAUAAGUUAACGCCAAAUCGCGGCAAAACGGCGAAUUCCAUCUCUGAGGCUCUAGAAGCUCAAUCUAGAAGGAGAGAUUUUAAUUGUAACCCCUAAACAGCAAAUGCUGACAUUUGUCUUGCUUUCAGAUAGUCUCCAGACUGGGCCAGAACAUGACUAAUUUAUUUUAUCUUAUCCAUCUAUCUAGGCACAGGAUUAAAAUAUUUAUAUCAGUCUGUUCACUUUAAAAUGUGCAGUUACAGACACCAGCUUCAGGGCCACUCCUUAAUUUUUCACAGUUUUGGCUUUUCAUUGUUUCCAGAAAUGCACAGUCCUUGAAUGGCGAACACUCGCAAAUGCUGAUGAAAUCUUUAAGUGAGGAGCCUCUAAACUAAUAUGAAAAUCUCCCCUUUCAGGCUGCGUGGACGCUGCCCGGCCACGGUGACGGAGCUGUUCCAAUGCCUGCUUCCCGAGACAGGCCCAUGAAAUCAUGCAGGCUUGAGCCCGGCUUCUAGAAGGAGCACGCCUCUGGCCAGGGUGGCUGGUGGAAACCAGUCCUGGCCAAGGGAGCCCCGGCCAGGCUGCCAGGUAGGCAGCAGGCGGCAGGGGGUUAAUGUGGGGAGCGGGCAGGGGUGGGGUGGGAAGCCAGCUGGGGAAAUGGGGGCUGCAGGGCCCAGCCCGACCAGGCACAGACACAGGGGGCUCUGUCUGCUUGCCCGCUGCCCUGGCACUGUGACUAACCGCCCCACUAUUGUGAGUCUGAAGUCAGCCCUUUGUGUCGUCCCCUGGCGUCUGGGAGCACAGCCGAAGAACCCUUUCCAGCAGCCCCCCUCAUUCUGGAACCUGCAGCCCCAACAUCCAUUCUUUCAGCUCUCAGGGUUGCUGGGGGCUGAUGAGCCAGUGGAAGUAUCCCUUUCCCUGGCCAGGAAGGGCCACCAGCAAAAAAGAAGCAGAAAACCAGUCUCCCCUACUCUGGGUGGGGAAGUGGGGGGCACAGGGACCUACUAAACCUACGUGACCGCCGUGGUAGCUGCUCCACACGCAGCAAAGGAGCCAUUGAAAUGGGGAGAGGCCAAAUCGAAUAUGGAAAAAAUGGCAAAAUAUCCCGUUCACAGUUUCAUACGAGCAACACACUGAAAUAGGAUUUUGGAAAUUUAUAUUAGAUUAAAAUGAAUUUUAGUACUAAAGUGAAUCUUACCCGCUUAUUUUCACUUUCUGAAAAUGUGGCUAUUAGAAGGUGUUAAAUGACAGAUGUGGCUUGCAUUUGUGGCUCGCGUUGUUUUGUGUGAGCUCGUGGGUUUGGGGGUGCUGGGACCUUGAAGGCUGCUUUCUCCUAGGGAGACAAUGGCACUCCCUACCCAUCAUUGUCAGGAAUACCAGGCCCUUGCAGCCACACUGUCUCCUGACCCUGGCCUUGCAUUCCCCGUUUUGAGAAUUGGGACUUACACACGCAGGUGUCUAGGAAUCCUUUGUCAAACACUGGCAUGCACACGAGUAUGCCUGCACACCCACGUGCACAUACACGGACACGCACAGACAUACACAGCCCUGGCUCCUGUCCACCGCAGGCUGGAGCAACCUGUCCCAGCUAGCCUUCGUGGAAGCCAGAUUCACAGGGCACCCAGAUGCCCUCCAAACCCCCCCUGGACCCAGACAUCUGACCCUUUGUCCUGGGACAGACAGGACCAACCCAGGCCACACCCGCCUUCCAUGGGCCGGGGCACUUUUGGCUUCCUGGUUCCCUUCCUCCAUAAAUACUAAAAAUUCUAUUUUAUGACUACAUCAGACUAAAGGCCAAUAAAACCAGGUCGAAUUCAUUGUCGUAUAUUCAUUAUUUUUAUAGUCAUUUUUUCUUCUGAUUUUAAAAGAAAUUAAAAUGAAAACAUUUCAUGGGCCCUAGGCUCUAUGCCUCGUGGGCUUGUGGGCCCAGACCAUCCCUCUGAGCUCCCAUGCCCAAACCCAUGCCCCUGAGUCUCACCCAGCGAGGAGCACAGGGGGCUUGCCUGCCGUUUGUCCAGUGACCAGAUA
rnacentral:lncRNA from 1 species